UCUCCUUUCUUCUUUUACCCCCUUUGUAAUCCAAGUCAUCGAAACUGAAAAAUCCAAGUGUAACCCAGCCAAGGAAAACACAGGCUAAAUGCAACUCUGAAUGGAACAAAAUUACAAGCCUAGAACCAAAGGGAUACAAUAAAUAAAUAAAAGACACUCAGUCUCAAGGAAGCAUGUUGAAAACACACACAUCCAACCAUUUCAAGCAUUUCUUUAUUUUUCUUACAUCGAGGUUUAAAAGUUUCUUUUAAAAAAAUAUUUGUGAUUUAUAAAUAAUAUUAAAUAAAUAAACAAGAUUUAAACUACAGUAGUUUAAUAAUAAUAAUAAUACGUUAUAAUUUUAGAAUGUGGCCAAUUUUUUACAAUUUGGAUUUAGGCCUUGGAAAAUCAAUUCCCUUUCCACUGGUUGUUUCUGCCGUUAGAUGUAGCUGUUUAAUUCUACAUAAAACAUAUUUUGCCUACUUUCUUUUUCUUGUUUAUUUAUUAGUAAUAAGGAAAGACCUACUUUAAUGCCUUUAUAUUAUUAUAGAAAAUUUAAUAUUUUAAAUAAUUAGAAAGAAAUAUUAUAUGAAGAUAAUAACAAUUAAUAAAAAAAAACAAUGUUGACGCAUCUUACAUCCUGCUUUUGGUAAUGGAAAUGAAAUUCAAAUUUCAAUUAUUAUAAUGACUAACACAGACUAAUAAUAUUCGUAUCAAUGGAGCUCUCAUAUUCUUCAAGCACUAGCAAAAGCCU
rnacentral:misc_RNA from 1 species